GACAGUGAGAGCAAGACAGUGGAAGAUGCAUGUCUAGACAUGCUAAAGAGUGGACAGCGCCAAAUGAGUUAUAGACUGAAACAGAAGUACUUCAAUGGGAUACCUGCUAAUCAAGUGAGGACUACAUCACCUAUUCCAAUCAUGUCUGACAACGACUGGAGAAAGUUGGUGCAGAAGUGGUCUACCCCAAAUCACAAGGAAAGUUGUGUGAAGAACAAACUUAAUCGUGAAAAAGUACA